UGAAAGUUCCUCAUGUCCGCAUCUGGCAUG
rnacentral:piRNA from 1 species